rnacentral:rRNA from 1 species
GACGAACGCUGGCGGCGUGCCUAACACAUGCAAGUCGAGCGGGGAGAAGAAUUCGUUUUUCUCUUUAGCGGCGGACGGGUGAGUAACACGUGGGUAACCUGCCUCAAAGUGGGGGAUAGCCUUCCGAAAGGAAAAUUAAUACCGCAUAAUAUCAGAGCGCUGCAUGGCGCUGUGAUUAAAGGAGCAAUCCGCUUUUGAGAUGGACCCCGCGGCGCAUUAGCUAGUUGGUGAGGUAACGGCCCACCAAGGCGACGAUGCGUAGCCGACCUGAGAGGGUGAUCGGCCACAUUGGAACUGAGACACGGUCCAGGACUCCUACGGUGGCUG